rnacentral:rRNA from 1 species
UGAAAAGCGAAUGAGUACGCAUAGGUUCAGGCUGUGAUUCAGAUGUGUGUGGUCACCUAGUACGUGCGGCGUUGAUGUUGUACAUGCUGGUACACAUGCAUUGCAUUUGGCAGCCUGACACUCUGCUUGGCUUCGUUCCAGCCGCAGCCACAGUGAAGUACGCCUCUUCCUCGUGAAGGUGGACGUGUCACUAGUAGUGUUGCUAAGCGCACGCGCGUGGGUAACUGUUUUAUUACAGUUGUCGGUUGUGACGGAGUUUGGCAAACUCUCGUUCACAGAGCCACUCGAUAGGCCUUCCGACCGGUGAUGAGCUGCUGGCGUGUUUACACGUCACAGUAUGUCUAGCCGGUCUAUGGGAUGCUGUUAUCGGCUAUGUGGAUGUUGAAAGCAGGUAUUGUUGCGGCAUCAUUCGAACCGUCUUGAAACACGGGCUAAGGAGUUCAACAAAUGCGCGAGUUUGCUGGUAUAAUGAAACCAGAAGGCGAAGUUAACGCGACUUUGUGAUUAAUGGUGAGAACUCGUCUGCUGCAAAGUACGGCGGGGUCAUCACCUAUGAUGGAUGGCAUAUUGAGUACCGGUUGUCGUUCGCAGUCGAGCGCAUAUGCUGAGACCCGAAAGAUGGUGAACUAUGCCUGAGUAGGAUGAAGCCGGAGGAAACUCUGGUGGAGGUCCGAAGCGUUUUUGACGUGCAAAUCAAUCGUCAGACUUGGGUAUAGGGGCGAAAGACUAAUCGAACCAUCUAGUAGCUGGUUCCCUUCGAAGUUUCCCCCAGGAAAGCUGGUGUCAUGUAUGACAGUUUUAUCUGGUAAAGCGAAUGAUUAGAGGCAUUGGGGACAAAUCGUCCUCGACCUAUUCUCAAACUUUAAAUGGGUAAUAAGCCGUUGCACUUCUUGAUAUUCUUGAGUGCUUCGGUGGAAUGCAAUGGCACCAAGUGGGCCAUUUUUGGUAAGCAGAACUGGCGAUGUGGGAUGAACCAAACGUUGAGCUAGGAUGCCCAAAGUGCUUCUCAUGAGAUACCAUGAAAGGUGUCAGUCGAUAUUGACAGCAGGACGGUGGCCGCAGAAGUUGGAAUCCGCUAAGGAGUGUGUAGCAACUCACCUGCCGAAUCGACUGGUCCUGAAAAUGGAUGGCGCUGGAGACGUAUAUCCAUGCUCGACCGUCAAGGCCAACUAUAAUUUGCGCGAAUGCUAUAAGGCUUGACGUGUAGAAGGGCGAUUGCCGUAGCGCCGAAACUUGCACCGUGAGGUGGAGUAGAGCUGCGGCAUGUGCAGAUCUUGGUGGUAGUAGCAAGUAUUCAAAUGAGAGCAUUGAAGACUGAAGUGGAGUAAGGUUCCAUGUGAACAACAUUUGGACAUGGAUCAGCCGAUCCUAAGAGAACGAGUAAAUUCGUGAUGAAGCGCGUCGCAUUGCGCGAUGCAAUCGAAAGGGAAUCGGGUUAAUAUUCCCGAGCCAGGAUACGGAAUGUGUUUGAUUCAUCAGCAGAGCCUCGUGUUCUGUUGACUUCAAACAAGAGCGGCAACGCUAACAAACCCAGAGUAUUAUCUAUGCGAAGUCCGGAGAAGAGUUUUCUCUUCUUUGUAAGGAAUGUUAUCCCUGGAAACAGAUUGUCUGGCGAUAGGGUACGCAUUCCGUAAUGCAACGCGAUUCCUGCGAUGUACCGUGCGCUUCGUAUAGUGCUUGAAAAUCUGGGGGCGAGAUCAUUCAUGCCGUACCUGUUCGUACUGAUUUCCGCAGCAGGUCUCCAAGGUGAGCAGCCUCUAGUCGAUGGGACAAAGUAGACAAGGGAAGUCGGCAAAUUAGAUCCGUAACUUCGGAAAAAGGAUUGGCUCUAAAGGCUGAGUUGAUCGGGCUGUUGCAAUAAGCAGAGUACGGGGCUAUGGCUCUGUCUCAGAUGCCGAGCUCGCAAGGGAUUCGGAGUCGAGGACGGACCUUGGCUUUUGUACUUUGUGGAAGGCGAUAGCUGUGCCACUCGUGUUAGCGUAUAUACGUUCGCGUGUGUGCCUAGUGCGUUGUGGAUCCGAUCAGCGUUAAACAGCUGACCUAGAACUGGUAUGGACAAGGGGAAUCCAACUGUUUAAUUAAAACAAAGCAUUGCGAUAGCUGUAAUCGGUGUUGACGCGAUGUGAUUUCUGCCCAGUGCUCUGAAUGUUAAAGUGAAGGAACUCAUCGAAGCGCGAGUUAACGGCGGAAGUAACUAUGACUUUCUUAAGGUAGCCAAAUGCCUCGUCAUCUAAUUAGUGACGUGCAUGAAUGGAUUAUUGAGAUUCCUUCUGUCCCUGUCUGCAACCUAGCGAAACCACAGCCAAGGGAACGGGCUUGGAGAGUAACAGCGGGGAAAGAAGACCCUGUUGAGCUUGACUCUAGUCAGUCUUUGUGAAGAAACAUGAUGGGUGUAGAAUAGGUGGGAGGACGCAACAGUGAAAUACCACUACCAUCAUCGUUUCUUUACUUACUCAAUUAAUCAGGGAGCGUGAAUUCGCUAUUUGCGAUGUAUGAUUAUUCCUUUAGUGGAAUAAGUGUCUGGUUUGAGAACACAGACUGAUUGGGAGUUUGACUGGGGCGGUACAUCUGUUAAAAUCUAACGCAGGUGUCCUAAGGCAAUCUCAGCGUGGACAGAAACCUCGCAUAGAGCGAAAGGGCNAAAAGAUUGCUUGAUC